rnacentral:rRNA from 1 species
CACGUAGGGAGCAAGCGUCGUCCGGAUUUAUUGGGCGUAAAGAGCUCGUAGGUGGUUCCGUAAGUCAGGUGUGAAACCUCCAGGCUCAACCUGGAGACGCCACCUGAUACUGCGGUGACUGGAGUCCGGUAGGGGAGCGUGGAAUUCCUGGUGUAGCGGUGAAAUGCGUUGAUAUCAGGAGGAACACCCAUGGCGAAGGCAGGUUACUGGGCAUUAUCUGACGCUGAGGCGCGAAAGCGUGGGUAGCAAACAGG